rnacentral:lncRNA from 1 species
UCCAGGAAGAAGAAACAACUGGCAUCAGUAAAGAUCUGGAGUCAUGAAACCCCCUGAGGAUGGCUGGGAAAAGAAGAUCCAGGAACUGCUGGUGUCAGGCAGAAGCCAUAGCUCACACCAAACCUCCAGCAUUUAAACUUUGCUGUGGAGUCUACGUGACCCCACCACGAGGUGUCCCUCACCUUUCCCUCCAUACCUGGGGAGACAGAUACGGCAGUGGUCACUGAACCCUGGGAUGACAUGCUACCUCAUCCUUUAUGACACCCUUUGAUAUGUUGCUUUUGAUGCAUUUCUUUGUAUCCCAUUUGGUUUCAUUUUUAGCAAUGAACUCAUUUUUGGUA